rnacentral:pre_miRNA from 1 species
UAGCAGCACAUAAAUAUUGGAGUUAUUAUUAGUAAAGUAUCUCCAGUAUCAAUUGUGCUGCUGAA